rnacentral:rRNA from 1 species
CCUACGGGUGGCUGCAGUGAGGAAUAUUGGUCAAUGGGCGCGAGCCUGAACCAGCCAAGUCGCGUGAGGGAAGACGGUCCUAUGGAUUGUAAACCUCUUUUGUCGGGGAGCAAAAGACGCCACGCGUGGCGUUCCGAGAGUACCCGAAGAAAAAGCAUCGGCGAACUCCGUGCCAGGAGCCGCGGUAAUACGGGGGAUGCGAGCGUUAUCCGGAGUUAUUGGGUUUAAAGGUGGCGCAGGCGGACGAUCAAGUCAGCGGUAAAAUUGGGGGGACCAACCUCUUCGAGCCGUUGAAACUGGUUGUCUUGAGUGAGUGAGAAGUAGGCGGAAUGCGUGGUGUAGCGGUGAAAUGCAUAGAUAUCACGCAGAACUCCGAUUGCGAAGGCAGCAUACCGGCGCUCAACUGACGCUCAUGCACGAAAGUGUGGGUAUCGAACAGGAUUAGAUACCCGAGUAGUC